UAAAGGCUUAAGUUAAACAAAACUAAAAGCCUUCAAAGCUUUAAAUGGUAAUCCCAGCCUUUAU
rnacentral:tRNA from 1 species